UCCCUAGUGGUACAGCAGUUAGGACUUGGCAAUUUCACUGCUGUGGGCCUGGGUUCAAUCCCUGCUCGGGAA
rnacentral:tRNA from 1 species